GAACUUGAUGGUUCGUACCAGCUGAGAAUCUGACCCUGUUUAAGUGCCUGAUAUCUCAAGGCCCAUAAUUUUCUCCCUUCAUCACUAUUAGCAUUGAUUACAGUGGAACAAUAAGUGGAAUAUAGUACUACGUAAGAGAAUGGAUGUCCCAGAGAAAGUACAUGUAGGAGUAACAAUAUGAAACGAAGUAAACAGAAUAACAGAAAAAGAUUCAGAAGACACCAUGUUACAUUUCAGUCACUUUGGAAAAUUCACCAUGCCAGACAAAGAAUGGAAAGAGAGUGAAAUCUGAGUCAGGCAAAGCUGACAUAUUUCUUCCUUCACAAUGAGCACUUGAAAUGUGCUCAGAAACAAAAGAAGCCAUUUGAGACAGACAUUAAGGAAUGCAGGUACACAAGCUAUUAUCUUCAGACAUGUCCUGAUUCAAUGCCUAGUGAAGACAAUAGAAAGAUUCCUAUUGACUUUAGUGCGUUUUGGAUCACAAAAAAAGAAU